rnacentral:lncRNA from 1 species
AGAAGAAACACAAAACUCCUUUCCCCGAUUCAGUUCAAAAAGCGCCUACUGCGAGACCGCCUGCUCCAACGCUCGUUUUCUGUCCUCCUGCAGCCUUCGCGCUACGCGGAACGCAACGAGGAAUUUCCACGGCAGCAUUUACAUCCGAAUGGACCCGCGGAGCUCCACGCCGACUCCUACCAGCCCAACUACGCGGCGUCUGGGGCAAGGGGAGCGGUGUCAGCCGGGAGCCCAAGGACCCGGCCGGGCGCCGUCGGGGUACCCCCUCCCGGAGGCAGCGGGCUUGCCUCCCCGGCGGCCUUUUAUUCCCACGUCUGGCCAGCGCUUUUCCACCUCCCCGUCCUUCCGAAGCCCUCACCCACCGGAGAGGAUAGUCACGGGGAAGAGCGAGAGGGAGGAAAGCCGGCAGCGGGGUCGGCCCUACACCCGUCGGUGGGGUGGGACCGCGCCGGUCCCCGCGCCCUGCCCCGGCUCGGGGGCGCCCCGUCGGGGGCCGAUCGCCCCCGGGGAAGGAGCGGGGGGCCGCGGGCGCCCUACCUGCAGGACGUUGGCGUGGCGCAGCCGCUGCAGCAGGAUCAUCUCCUUGACGAUCUUGUAGGCGGCCAGCCGGUAGCAGUCCCCCAGCGCCGAGAACUGCCGCACGCAGUGGGCGACGUCGUGCCCGCCGAAAUCCACCGCCUUCAGCGCCACGGCCAGCGAGCGGUUGAGCACCGCCUUGUACACGGCCUUGGUGUAGCCGGAGCCCAGGUACUGCACGCCGCUCACGUCGCGGAUGUCGCGACAGCCCAGCAGCGGCGGCUCCAGCGACAGCUCGCCCGAAGCUCGGCCCCGGGGCUGCCCCGCCGCCGCCGCCGCCCGGCUCCGAGGCGCCCCCGGCCGCGGCUGCUCCGCCGAGGAGCGCGGCGGGGCCAGGUCCAUCAGGCGCCGCUCCCGNNNNNNNNNNNNNNNNNNNNCUCUCGGGUCUCCCUCCUCUCGCCCCUUCCCCGCGAACCGGCUCCGGGGGUUGUUAUUUAUUUUUUUUUUUCCGCCCCCCCCCCCUCCCCGGUUUUGCCGGGGCGCUCAGCCGGACCUCACCCCCUUACGGCGCUCCCGCAUGACACUUGCCUCCCUGCUUUUAAGCCUCCCAAGCACUUAUUAUUAGCGGGACCGGAGGAGGGCGGGGGGGCGGGGGGGGGAUCCCCGGCUCGCUCCCCCCGCUGA